rnacentral:rRNA from 1 species
CGUAGGGUGCGAGCGUUAAUCGGAAUUACUGGGCGUAAAGUGUGCGCAGGCGGCCAUGCAAGUCGAGUGUGAAAGCCCCGGGCUUAACUUGGGAAUUGCGCUCGAAACUACGUGGCUGGAGUGUGGCAGAGGAAGGUGGAAUUCCACGUGUAGCGGUGAAAUGCGUAGAGAUGUGGAGGAACACCAAUGGCGAAGGCAGCCUUCUGGGCCAACACUGACGCUCAUGCACGAAAGCGUGGGGAGCAAUCAGGAUUAGAUACCCUGGUAGUCCACGCCCUAAACGAUGACGACUAGUUGUUGGAGGAGUUAAAUCCUUUAGUAACGCAGCUAACGCGCGAAGUCGUCCGCCUGGGGAGUACGGUCGCAAGAUUA